rnacentral:lncRNA from 1 species
AUUCUUCUUACCCAUGUUCAAAGAUCUAGAUUUGUCAUACAAGAGCCUAGUACACAUGGGAAAUGAUGACUUGGUUCAAGCUAAAGGCAAAGGCAGUAUUGUUGUACAGACUAAGAUGAGACCUAAAUUUAUUCGAGAUGUGCUAUUAGUGUCAAAUUCGAAGCAAAACCUGUUGAAUAUCUAACAACUUGUACAAAAUAGCUACAUAGUUUAUUUCAAAGAUGGAGGUUACAAAAGUUUUUAUUGAAGAAACAACAAUCAUUUACUUGCAAAACUUGACAUGGAGAAGUCCAGAAAUUUUCCUCUACAAAUAAAAGUAUGCUUCA